rnacentral:rRNA from 1 species
AUUGAACGCUGGCGGCAUGCUUUACACAUGCAAGUCGAACGGUAGCAGGCCGCAAGGUGCUGACGAGUGGCGAACGGGUGAGUAAUGCAUCGGAACGUGCCCAGUCGUGGGGGAUAACGCAGCGAAAGCUGUGCUAAUACCGCAUGCGAUCUAUGGAUGAAAGCGGGGGACCGUAAGGCCUCGCGCGAUUGGAGCGGCCGACGGCAGAUUAGGUAGUUGGUGGGGUAAAGGCUCACCAAGCCAACGAUCUGUAGCUGGUCUGAGAGGACGACCAGCCACACUGGGACUGAGACACGGCCCAGACUCCUACGGGAGGCAGCAGUGGGGAAUUUUGGACAAUGGGUGCAAGCCUGAUCCAGCAAUGCCGCGUGCAGGAAGAAGGCCUUCGGGUUGUAAACUGCUUUUGUACGGAACGAAAAGGUUUGGGUUAAUACCCUGGGCCGAUGACGGUACCGUAAGAAUAAGCACCGGCUAACUACGUGCCAGCCGCCGCAGUAA